UACGAAGGGGGCUAGCGUUGCUCGGAAUCACUGGGCGUAAAGCGCACGUAGGCGGACUCUUAAGUCAGGGGGUGAAAUCCUGGAGCUCAACUCCAGAACUGCCUUUGAUACUGGGAGUCUCGAGUUCGGGAGAGGUGAGUGGAACUGCGAGUGUAGAGGUGAAAUUCGUAGAUAUUCGGAAGGAACACCAGUGGCGAAGGCGGCUCACUGGUCCAUUACUGACGCUGAGGUGCGAAAGCGUGG
rnacentral:rRNA from 1 species